rnacentral:misc_RNA from 1 species
AUUACGUGACCGCGGUCCCUC